UGGGCUUGACAUGUACUGGACCGGUGUAGAAAUACACCUUCCCUUCGGGGCCGGUGCGCAGGUGCUGCAUGGCUGUCGUCAGCUCGUGUCGUGAGAUGUUGGGUUAAGUCCCGCAACGAGCGCAACCCUUGUCUUUAGUUGCCAGCGGAUAAUGCCGGGCACUCUAGAGAGACUGCCGGUGGUAAGCCGGAGGAAGGUGGGGAUGACGUCAAGUCCUCAUGGCCCUUACGUCCAGGGCUACACACGUGCUACAAUGGUCGGUACAAAGGGUUCCGAUAUCGUGAGAUGGAGGUAAUCCCAAAAAGCCGGCCUCAGUUCGGAUUGCAGUCUGCAACUCGACUGCAUGAAGG
rnacentral:rRNA from 1 species